AGCCUGAGGCUAAUAAUCUCAGGUUUAACCUGCCCAGUGUAGGUCUUCAUUAACGGCCGCGGUAAUUUGACCGUGCUAAGGUAGCGAAAUCAAUUNGGCUUUUAAUUGGAGUCAGGAAUGAAUGGGAUCACGUGGUUCAACUGUCUCUUAACUAAUUUUUUGAAAUUACUAUAUAGAUGAAAAAGUCUUUGGUAAGAAAAAAGACGAGAAGACCCUUAGAGUUUCUUCUUAAAGUAAAUUUUUAUUAUUUAUGAAAGUUUAGUUGGGGCAACUGAAGAAAACUAUCUAUAACUUCUUUAACUUGUAUUAACCGAUUAUCUUAAACUUAUAUAAACUACCUUAGGGAUAACAGCAUUAUGUAAAAAAUAAGUUUGUGACCUCGAUGUUGGACUGGGAAACUACAAGGCUAGUCGUCUUUUAGGAAAGUUCUGUUCGAACAUUAAAUUCC
rnacentral:rRNA from 1 species